UAUCGGGAAGGGCACAGGCGGAGCGGGGCGGGCUCCACAGAGAAGAGGUCGCAGCGUCAGCCUGGCAGAGCUCCGGAAGCGUUUGGUGAAGGCUCUCAGGCACACGAUGUGACCCUUGGGGGUCCUGUGCAGGAGCUGGACUCGAUGAUCCCUGUGGGUCUCUUCAGCUUGGCAUGUCCCGUGGUCCUGUGGGGACGCAGCUUGGCCUCUUCCCCUCGGCCACCCCGUGAGUGGGGCCUUGCGCGGCCUUCCAGGAGCAGGGGCUGGGUGAAGUAUGCAGGCUGUCCCGCCCUCAGUGGUUCUGUGUUCGCUCCACUUGGCACCUCCAGUCCAAUGCCCUUUCAACGAGAUUGACACAGAAAGGCACUUCAGGGCGCUUCCCACUUAGAGACACCCACACCCCGACACACGCCCUUUCCACCUCCAGAAGACUCUGGACAGGAGCGCUGGAUGUGGAGUUCAGCACCUGAUGAACUGGCAGAAGCACCGUGCCCAUGCCAGUUUUGGCACGUGCAGCAAGGUCAGAGAAGGCUUUUGAGGGGUCUGGGUUUUGUUAAGUCUUGGAAAACAGGCCCUGUUUCUGAGAGGCACAAUUCACAGCAGAGCACUCUAGUAUGGACUACAAUGGGCUCCUGAACCAGGGAAAUCCCAGGGGAGCAGUAAGAUGUGGGUUCUGGUAUUUCCCCACCAGCUCAUGGGUUUGCCCUCGCAGCCAGCAAGUUGGUAGCUGGAAGAGGGAAUCACAGGAUCUUUUCCACUUGUUCCAGGGACAUGACUGACAUUUGGCUUGAUCACCAGGGUUUACAAGGCCAAGUUGUGCCUCAGCACAAGGGAUCCCAGAGGGGAGAGGGAAAUUUUGUCCCUGCCUAAGAUUUCCUAACUUCUUUGCAAAACAGGUCAGAGUCAGCCCACCUGGACCAGAGAAAGUCACAUCUCACUCUGUAAGCCAGGGACAUCCACUUACAAUCCCUGUGUUACUUUCAGGUACAGUUCCAGAGGUUCUGCCCACUUGGCCAAGAGAGCCUCUGGGAGCUUGCUCCUGGGUCAGGACAGCCAGGACCCACUGAGGGGUGGAGAUGAAGGCUGGGGCUUAGCAGCUGGGAGAUGUGGCUCUGGUGUCUGGGACACUGGGGAGGAGAGGGUCACAGCAGGAGGUAUCACCAGGAACAUCACCAGGCAGCUCCAACCCCACCACACCUGGAUUCUGGUGAUCAGUGAGUAUGCAUGCAAAGGAAUGCUGGGCUGGAUAGGGAUGGGGGCAAUGUCUAGGGCGUUUCUAACAAGAAGAAAAGUGAGCGCCUCAGGGUGGGACAGGGCACAGAGCCAUGCUUGGGUCUGAAGGAAGAGGAGCUCGGGGCUCUCAGUGGUGGCAGGUGCCCAGAGAGGCUUUAAGGACAUCCUGGGUGUCCCCAGCCCCCUGUUCCCUGCCACACAGAUUCACCUUUCCACCCACCAGGCCUUGGCUUCAAGACUUGUGUUCUUCCUGGCUCUGCUGACCAUCUAGCCCAGACUGCCUCACAAUGACCAGGACAACAUGGACACAGCCAAACAGAUAGAAGAGUGUGAAGAAUAUCUGCAUCAUGAUACCAUCGUCAUCACUUGGCUGCUGCAGGUGAUAGAGGGGAAGAAGGGCACCAUGGAAGCCCCACUGCUUUCUGCAGUGCCAUAGCAGCCCGGGUCCUGGUCACUGUGGGCUGCUGGCUGGACAGGCAAAGGAAGCAUGCCUCUGCCAGCUGCAGGGAGCAGGAGAGCUCCCGCAGCAAGGAGGACAAUGGCCUGAUCUCAGAUCUCAAAUGAUCUCAGAACUUUGUGAUAAACUCAUCACCAAUGGAAACAUUCAAGCUAAGGCUGGAUGGGGCUGUGAGUAACAUGAUGUAAUUGAGCACCCCUCCUCAUUGUGGCAAUGAUCUUUAGAGAUCCCUUCUGACUCUGGCUAUUCUGUGAUUCUAAAGCAGGACCUGCCUAGCACCUGAAGCAUGGACCAGCGUGAUAGAAUCAAGACCAGUGAUUUUAUCAUCUCCUAAGGCAAUACCAUGAAGUUCACCAAAAUGAUGAUCCUAGCCCAAUCCCCAGAGACAAUAAACAUCAACAUAGGGAAGAUAUCCUGGCGAGAAAGACAUCACAUAACAGAACCCUGAUAACAAGUACUUUGUAUUUCCUUUGGCUCUGUAAGGCAAUAAAUCAACCUUGUGACCAGCAGCUGCUAAACCAAUGCAAUGAAUUGUCCGCAAGACUCCCUUUCUGCCUAUCACCCUGUUGUAGGCCUGCCUCGCAGUAGAGAUGCUCCAGUGCUGGUCCCAGAUCCCCUGAGAAAGUGGAGCAGGGGCCACAUGUCCUCCUGUACUGUAGACUUCACUCUCACAGGCAGUACAGCCCCAAGCACUGCAUAUGGGGCAUGCUUAUACAAAAUUGAGGUGACACCUCGUGUUCAUGGCUAUCCAUGCUUCCCUCCAGCUGUCUUGUCCUCUGCUGGCAUUGACAAGUCAGUAAUAUCGAUUUGGGGGCUGGGAGAUUUGUGUGGCACUUGGCUUUAGGGGGCCUGACCUGUUUUGAAAUCCCCCAGAGUCUUGCAAAACCCCCCCAACUUGGCAAUACAGUUUUUCUGGCCCUCACGCCAGUGCCUCAAGCUGUAGAUGCAGGGAGAGGCUGAGGGGUGGCAGUAGUCUGUGCCUGGCUCUGCACAGCUUGACAUGUCUCAUCAAAAAUAUCUCAGAUGCUCUUUGUGUGGUCCUCCCACUCCAGCAUGUAAUUCAAGGGCAUUGAACAGGAAGGAUUCAGAGAUGAAAUGAGGCACAGGAGAGAUGAGAAAACUGGAGUAGAGAGCAGAGGCCCCUGCCUGGAAGGUGCUUUGAUUAAACAACAGAACGGCUCAGCUGAUGCACUGCAGAAGAGGAAGGCGGGCCCAAGGAGGAGCUCCAGCCCUUGCACAGGGACAGCUCAGCAGCCCAAGACACCAUGUACUAUCCUCCUAUCCAGCUCCUCCAGGCCCAGGGUGGGAGGCUGCAGCUCACAGCAGACUUUGCAACUUCGGGAGGAUGAACUGAAGAUGAGCACUGCAUGCACGGGGAGCAUUUUUUCCCUGCUGUAGAAGGUCUUAGAACCACAAAACAGAAUUGCUGGGCCACAGAGGGGGCGGGAGGCCAGCAGCACCUGGGCAGGAAAGAGAUGCAAUCUCAACACCCUCCUUUUCCUGACCCGAGAGGCACAGCAAAUAAAGGAAAGCAGAUAACAAAAGCUAUCCCUGUCGGUCUCUUGCUGGGUCUGGCUCGACAAGGGGUCAGCAUGAAUUGUGUUUCCUGGCAGUAUGUGGAUGUGCUUUUAGAGGGAUAUCCGCUGGGUAGCGUGGGACAACAGGGCUUGGUCCACAUCAUGGAGGGCCCCGAAGUGGAGGGCAGGACUAGAUAAUGGCUUUGGGCAUCCCCAGGAAAUCCAGCCCAUUUUGGUAACAGCAAUGAGACACAUCCGGCUGCUCUUCAGUUUGCGUUGGAGAAAAUACAGCAAGCCAGGAAGAAACUUCCUGAGCACUUUGUCAGCUGCAUUAAUAUUUGCUAGCUUUUACAGCAGGCAUUCAGUCACUGGCAAUAGAAAUUGCACCUAGUACAAAGGAUGAGCAGCUAAUCCCAUAUCUGGAGAAGACCCUGACAACUAAUAAUGUGUGCAUGCAUGAUCAUGUGCUUCUGUGUUUCCUCAUUGUCAUAAACAUGAACCUUCCAUGGAAACAUCAAGGACUUUUUGGCUUCCCUAGCUGCCAAGCCAGUAGCACGCAGACUGUGGAAGGGGACACACCAGUGACAUGUUUUAUCACUGUGUACUUGAAGAGGAUGAUGAGUUUGGAUUAAGCUUGAGACCUGGAGGUUUCCUUUACAUUCCAAGGACAUGAUGGAGAUGAGAGGACACAGUCCAAACCAUGUGGUUAUCAUUCCAAGCCCACCACAGCCUCAGAGGUCCUGCAGACCCUCCAUGCAUGAACUGAGGAGGGAGACACACACACCCUCUCCCAGUAUCCGCCCAAAGGACCAAACACAGACAUCCAUCUUCUCAAACUGCUUUAAUAUUUGGACAUAAAGA